rnacentral:rRNA from 1 species
AGGUCCUACGGGGCGCAGCAGUGGGGGAUAUUGCACAAUGGGGGAAACCCUGAUGCAGCGAUGCCGCGUGAGUGAAGACGGCCUUCGGGUUGUAAAGCUCUGUCGCAGGGGACGAAAAUGACGGUACCUUGCAAGAAAGCUCCGGCUAACUACGUGCCAGCAGCCGCGGUAAUACGUAGGGAGCAAGCGUUAUCCGGAUUUACUGGGUGUAAAGGGAGCGUAGACGGUUCUGCAAGUCUGAAGUGAAAGCCCGUGGCUUAACCG